rnacentral:misc_RNA from 1 species
UGCUUUAUUUGCACAAGUUGCCUGU